rnacentral:rRNA from 1 species
UACGUAGGGUGCGAGCGUUUGUCCGGAAUUAUUGGGCGUAAAGGGCUCGUAGGCGGUCUGUCGCGUCGAAAGUGAAAACUCAGGGCUUAACCCUGAGCCUGCUUCCGAUACGGGCAGACUAGAGGUAUGCAGGGGAGAACGGAAUUCCUGGUGUAGCGGUGAAAUGCGCAGAUAUCAGGAGGAACACCGGUGGCGAAGGCGGUUCUCUGGGCAUUACCUGACGCUGAGGAGCGAAAGUGUGGGGAGCGAACAGG